rnacentral:lncRNA from 1 species
UCGGAAGAGUAGACAAAGAGAGGGCUCAUAGGAUCAAUAGAUGAAGCACUAUUAGGAUUCAUAUUUAACAUCAGAAACAACAGUGAAGUAGAAAUCGAUUCAAUCUCUGCGAGCAAUUCAACACACUAGAUUUUUCACCAAAACACAUGCAAAAUUCCUAACAAAAGGGAGAAUAGGAUUAACAGACUUCUUCGCUAUCGGAGAAGAACGGCCUUCAAAUAUACAGAGAAAACCCUAGCUCCGAACAGAGAAAACCCUAGCUCCGAGGGAUGUAAAUCCAACGCUUGUGAAUCCGUCGGAAUCAAGCACGAGAGAUGUCGGAAAUCUACCCAAAACACCAAACUUAGGACAAUGUUAACAAACGAUACUAAAGGAAAACUCCGAUUCACCAGCUAACUGAAAACGCACAGAAACUCGAAUCAAUGGUGAGACCUCAACAAUACUGAACCGGAUCAACGAAGAAUAGAGAGGAGGCGACCCGAAAAACCUUGCUCUGAUACCAUGAAAACAUGGAAGAUCGAGAGAAGGAAACCCUUUUCAUUUUCGUUUAGAGAGAGGGAGAGACAAUGAGAGUUC